rnacentral:lncRNA from 1 species
AAUAAUUGCUAGAAGAAUAUGUUGUAACAUCCCAAAAAUUGCCCCAAAGAUACGCAAAACACGUUUCGCAUGAACGGCGCUUAAGAGAGGCGAGCUCUCUUUUCCCUUCAUCUCCAUUAGGAGGAAAAUGGGAAGUCAAAUUUCCCGAUAAUCACAUUUCCGCCCGCAGAUCCUAAUGGGGUGACUCCCCCACAGCGAACAAGGAAAGGAAACCGAGAAAUAAACCCGAGAACACGCCUUUGACGUCUAUGGCGUGCUUGCCUUUCCUGCCAAGGGUUGGCUGAGCGGAGUCAGGGUCCUUGGAUGGCUGGACCACUGGACAAGGGGAAUGGAGCCGACUGGAGGGGGUGCGGGGCUUGGAUGCUGGACAGAGAAUGCGUGAGGAAGGCCAUUACCGAGAUGAAAGCCGGGAGAAUGCCUUUGGCCCAGGACUGCGGAAUCUAAUUGAAUUAUAUGAACGCAGUUAAACGUCGGCUUCAGAGAGGCAGGCCUCGCUUUCAAGACUGGAUGCUUCAGGAGUUAAUGGGCUAUUUGAACAAUAUAGGCCAAGAGCCGAACACAGCCCUUCUCCCUACUGCGGUCACUGACGUUCCAAGAGGCCAGUCUGAUGGCAUCAGGCCCUGCUGAACAACUGCUGUGGCUCCCCACUGCCCUCAGAGGAGAGUUCAGACUCCGUCUUGGCUUCCGACGUUCUUCCUGUUGCCUCGAGCCUCAUCUCUCACUCUCAUCUUCACGCCUCCUGGGUCCCUCCUCUGCUUGUUGUGGACCGUCAGCCAGGAAUGCCUCCUCCUAACCCCUAGGGACCCCGCUUCUCCCUUACCUGCCAGGCCCAGUUCAAAUGCAGCCUCCUCCAGGAAGCCUUCCUUUUCUGCCUGGAUCAGAUUCCUGUGACUGUGUAUAUGUCUUAUCAUUGGCCCCCUCCCUCCACUAGGCCAUGAAGACCUUGAGGGCAGGAUCCAUGUUCAUUAUUAUCAUAAAAAGAAGUUUAACACACUACUGGUUCCCACUUGUCAAGCAUGUCCUGAACGCCAGGUGCUUUACAAGCAUUAGCUCAUUAAACCUCCGCAGCACCCCGUUUUAUUGUCCCCAUUUUACAGAUGAGGAAACUGAGGCUCAGAGACAGGAAGUUACUUGCUCAAGAAUCUCCAGCUGUCCCAUUGACCAGCUGAGUGGCCUCGCUUCACCUCCCUGACAACAGCGUCUACAUCACGGGGUUCGGGCAGUGGUGUGCUGCAAUCAGUUCAUACUGGCUCUCAAGAGGUGCUUGUGAAAUUUUCAGGAAUUAAUUUUGUGAGCUGCUUGUUAAAAGCAGUCACUGUUAAAAAUAAAGUUAUACAAACUUACCAUUCAAUAAAUGGCCUUAAAAUUAAAAGUAACAAAUACUCCGAACUCAUCAAUUCCUAUCAAUUCACUUCACUUUGCCAUCAUCGGCGCUCGAGGUUGUCUGCGUCUAUUGUGUCCGUGUGGGGGAAACACCAUAGGAUGGCGUGGACACCACCCCCUGCACAUCACCACCUACUGCCCAUCUCUUCCCAGCUCCACCUUCGGUGACAUCAGGAAGGUAGUUUGAAAUCACCCACGGUCGGAGUAUUUACAUCAUGGAAAUUGGCAAACUCCACGAAUCAGGGUUGGUUGUUUGUUCUCCAGAGAGCUGGUUGUGAGACUGGUACCAGCACCCCGCG